GUGUACCUUUUACUAUCAUAUUACGAGUAUAUUUUUCUUGGAGAACUAAACAAUGUGUUUGCGGCCGCACACUGACACAAUACAUCAUAGACGCCUUGUUUACUUCAGAAAACGGCCAUGCUGAAAAGGUAGUGCUGUCUAAGGAAUAGAAAGAACAGGAAGGCAUUCUUGCAAAGUGAGCAAUAACUGUAUUUUACCUACGACUUUCCGCCACUGUUUCAGUCUCAUAAUAAAUAAAGCAGCAUUUAUUUCAGCAAGGCAAAUGAGAAAAUUAUCAGCAAACUUAGUACUAUUUUUUAGCGCGGUAGCAGGCAUGCGUUUCGGUUCUGUAGCUUCCACAGUGCUGUCAAUAAAAGUUGUUGCCGAGUGUAGCAGUUUCACACAGUGGUGGCUU
rnacentral:lncRNA from 1 species